rnacentral:lncRNA from 1 species
AGUCAGAAUGAUCACCGUCUGAGUACCCACACUCCUCCUAACCUUAUACCUACGGAGCAGGUACUCAGGACCAGCCUGUGCCUUAAAGCCCAUCAGUCAAUCAAUCAGUAAGCUCCCUUGGAUGGGAAGGGAGGCCUCCUCCCCCAUCCCUCUCUCAGCUGUUGACGAGCAGAAGUCCCUCUCUCAGCUGUUGACGAGCAGAAGUCCAGGAACCUCCCUCCAAUACUGCCUUUGGACCCAACCUGAUCCCACACUCCUUCCUUCUCAUUCCAAGUUAUCCUUCCUGUGCCAGAUAGGGAAGGAGCCAGGGUGUGCCUUGAGUUCAUCAAUCUGCUCCUUCUCUAAUAUUGAGGGGCCUUUGUAUUUCUUUUGUAUUUUUUUUCUUAUUUUGUUUCAUGUUGGUGGAGUAUAUGUCCUUAAUUAAAAGGUGGCUUGUUUCCUAUUUGUACACUCGGAACAUUUACUGGAUGCUGAAGGCAGUUAUGUUGGCCUUCAGAACCAAGUCCUAGGGGCUUAGAGGACCUUGCUAACCUAUGUGAAGGAAUGCAUAGGGCUGUGGAGCAUACUGAUUUGAGGUGGCUGCAUGUUGACCCACACUGGAUUGGGAAAGACCUCCCAGGUUCAAGAUGCCUACUCAACCA